UGGGGAAUAUUGCGCAAUGGGGGAAACCCUGACGCAGCAACGCCGCGUGAAGGAAGAAGGUCUUCGGAUUGUAAACUUUUGUCUUGUGGGAAGAUAAUGACGGUACCACAGGAGGAAGCCACGGCUAACUACGUGCCAGCAGCCGCGGUAAUACGUAGGUGGCAAGCGUUGUCCGGAAUUACUGGGUGUAAAGGGUGCGUAGGCGGCCUUUUAAGUCAGGUGUGAAAACUAUGGGCUCAACCCAUAGCCUGCAUUUGAAACUGAAAGGCUUGAGUGAUGGAGAGGUAAGUGGAAUUCCUAGUGUAGCGGUGAAAUGCGUAGAUAUUAGGAGGAACACCAGUGGCGAAGGCGACUUACUGGACAUUAACUGACGCUGAGGCACGAAAGCAUGGGGAGCAAACA
rnacentral:rRNA from 1 species